GUUUGAUCAUGGCUCAGAUUGAACGCUGGCGGCAGGCCUAACACAUGCUAGUCGAACGGUAACAGGAAGAAGCUUGCUUCUUUGCUGACGAGUGGCGGACGGGUGAGUAAUGUCUGGGAAACUGCCUGAUGGAGGGGGAUAACUACUGGAAACGGUAGCUAAUACCGCAUAACGUCGCAAGACCAAAGAGGGGGACCUUCGGGCCUCUUGCCAUCGGAUGUGCCCAGAUGGGAUUAGCUAGUAGGUGGGGUAACGGCUCACCUAGGCGACGAUCCCUAGCUGGUCUGAGAGGAUGACCAGCCACACUGGAACUGAGACACGGUCCAGACUCCUACGGGAGGCAGCAGUGGGGAAUAUUGCACAAUGGGCGCAAGCCUGAUGCAGCCAUGCCGCGUGUAUGAAGAAGGCCUUCGGGUUGUAAAGUACUUUCAGCGGGGAGGAAGGGAGUAAAGUUAAUACCUUUGCUCAUUGACGUUACCCGCAGAAGAAGCACCGGCUAACUCCGUGCCAGCAGCCGCGGUAAUACGGAGGGUGCAAGCGUUAAUCGGAAUUACUGGGCGUAAAGCGCACGCAGGCGGUUUGUUAAGUCAGAUGUGAAAUCCCCGGGCUCAACCUGGGAACUGCAUCUGAUACUGGCAAGCUUGAGUCUCGUAGAGGGGGGUAGAAUUCCAGGUGUAGCGGUGAAAUGCGUAGAGAUCUGGAGGAAUACCGGUGGCGAAGGCGGCCCCCUGGACGAAGACUGACGCUCAGGUGCGAAAGCGUGGGGAGCAAACAGGUUUAGAUACCCUGGUAGUCCACGCCGUAAACGAUGUCGACUUGGAGGUUGUGCCCUUGAGGCGUGGCUUCCGGAGCUAACGCGUUAAGUCGACCGCCUGGGGAGUACGGCCGCAAGGUUAAAACUCAAAUGAAUUGACGGGGGCCCGCACAAGCGGUGGAGCAUGUGGUUUAAUUCGAUGCAACGCGAAGAACCUUACCUGGUCUUGACAUCCACGGAAGUUUUCAGAGAUGAGAAUGUGCCUUCGGGAACCGUGAGACAGGUGCUGCAUGGCUGUCGUCAGCUCGUGUUGUGAAAUGUUGGGUUAAGUCCCGCAACGAGCGCAACCCUUAUCCUUUGUUGCCAGCGGUCCGGCCGGGAACUCAAAGGAGACUGCCAGUGAUAAACUGGAGGAAGGUGGGGAUGACGUCAAGUCAUCAUGGCCCUUACGACCAGGGCUACACACGUGCUACAAUGGCGCAUACAAAGAGAAGCGACCUCGCGAGAGCAAGCGGACCUCAUAAAGUGCGUCGUAGUCCGGAUUGGAGUCUGCAACUCGACUCCAUGAAGUCGGAAUCGCUAGUAAUCGUGGAUCAGAAUGCCACGGUGAAUACGUUCCCGGGCCUUGUACACACCGCCCGUCACACCAUGGGAGUGGGUUGCAAAAGAAGUAGGUAGCUUAACCUUCGGGAGGGCGCUUACCACUUUGUGAUUCAUGACUGGGGUGAAGUCGAAACAAGGUAACCGUAGGGGAACCUGCGGUUG
rnacentral:rRNA from 1 species